CCUACGGGUGGCAGCAGUGAGGAAUAUUGGUCAAUGGACGAGAGUCUGAACCAGCCAAGUAGCGUGAAGGAUGACUGCCCUAUGGGUUGUAAACUUCUUUUAUAUGGGAAUAAACUGUUCCACGUGUGGGCUUUUGUAUGUACCAUAUGAAUAAGGAUCGGCUAACUCCGUGCCAGCAGCCGCGGUAAUACGGAGGAUCCGAGCGUUAUCCGGAUUUAUUGGGUUUAAAGGGAGCGUAGGUGGAUUGUUAAGUCAGUUGUGAAAGUUUGCGGCUCAACCGUAAAAUUGCAGUUGAAACUGGCAGUCUUGAGUACAGUAGAGGUGGGCGGAAUUCGUGGUGUAGCGGUGAAAUGCUUAGAUAUCACGAAGAACUCCGAUUGCGAAGGCAGCUCACUGGACUGCAACUGACACUGAGGCUCGAAAGUGUGGGUAUCAAACAGGAUUAGAUACCCUAGUAGUC
rnacentral:rRNA from 1 species